rnacentral:rRNA from 1 species
AGAGUUUGAUCCUGGCUCAGGAUGAAUGCUGGCUGUAUGGAUAAGUCAUGCAAGUCGAACGGUCCGCAAGGACAGUGGCAGACGAGGUAGUAACACGUUCGUACGUACUCCCAAGUCGGGCAUAGCCAACCGAAAGGUUGGGUAAUUCCCGAUAGUCCCUACGGGGUAAAGAUUUAUCGCUUGGGAAGCGGCGUGCGUAGUAUCAGCUUGUUGGUAAGGUAACGGCUUACCAAGGCUACGACGCUUAGGGGAGCUGAGAGGCUGACCCCCACCGAUGGGACUGAGACACGGCCCAUACUCCUACGGGGGGCUGCAGACGAGAAUACUCCGCAAUGGACGCAAGUCUGACGGGGCGAUACAGCGUGGUGGAUGAAGUGCUUCGGUACGUAAACACCUUUUAUGUGGGACGAAAUUAUUGACGGUACCACAUGAAUAAGGGGCUCCUAACUCUGUGCCAGCAGGAGCGGUAAUACAGAGGCCCCAAGCAUUAUCCGGAAUCACUGGGCUUGUAAUAGGAUUUGUCGUGCCUAAGGUCGGUCAUGUUAGUCGUAUCGUACAACUCGUGUGAAUACGGCUCGCGAGCGAAACGGAUGACCUAGUCGAGAGAGUGGCUGGAACUCACGGUGUAGGGGUGAAACUCCCUGAGUAUGGGGGGAAAACCAAAAGGGGCGAAGGCAGCGCUACGGUUCCAGAUCAUACGCUCAUACUACGAAGAGGUUGCGCAUAUUGUUUUAGUACCCCUUAGUUCCUGGCCCAUAACCUUGCUCGCCCUCUUGUGGGAGCCUCGACCUCUAUGGGAGUUUACCUCUACGCGGUAAGUGCCCCGCCUGUUUAGUACGAGCCAAAACUUUAAAUUUCAAACGAAUAGCCGGGGCUUCGCCCAAGGGGUUGUACCAAGGGGCUUAAAUUGGUGGUUAGGCGAAGAUUUUUCCCAGGGGUUAGAAGCCAAGCUCCGGGCCCCCAGAAACGGAGGAACCCUUGGAGGGGGCUUUGCAAGGUGAUGCAUGGUUGUGGUCAGUUCGUGGCUUGAGCUGUUCCUUAAAGGGGGGUAACGACCGCACCCCCCCUUUCUCUGUUCUUUAUCUCAGGCGAGAACUGCUCCCUCACGGGAGAGGAAGGUGGGGAUGACGCCAAAUCAGCAUGUCCCUUGAUGCCCUGGGCCGCACACGUGAUACAAUGGUCGGUACAGAAGUACGCAAUACCGCAAGGUGAAGCAAAUCCCAAAAACCGACCCCAGUACGGAUUGAGGUCUGCAACCGACCUCAUGAAGCCGGAAUCACUAGUAAUCGUAGGUCAGCCAUACUACGGUGAAUACGUUCUCGAGUCUUGUACUCACCGCCCGUCAACUCAAGGAAGUUGGAAGCGCCCGAUAUCUUGUCUUGUACAGGACUACGGCGAGUUCAAUGACAGGGAGUAAGUCGUAACAAGGUAACC